rnacentral:rRNA from 1 species
AGAGCAUGUGCACGCCCUGCUCAUCCACUCUACACCUGUGCACUUACUGUGGGUUUCACGAGCUUCGAAAGCGAGAAAAGGGCCUUCAAGGGCUUUUUCUUGAGCCGAUUUUACAGUGGACCCAUUUCACUACAAACACCCUUAUCAAGUAUCAGAAUGUGUAUUGCGAUGUAACGCAUCGGAUACAACUUUCGACAACGGAUCUCUUGGCUCUCGCAUCAAUGAAGAACGCACCGAGAUGCCAUAAAUACUGUGAAUUGCAGAAUUCUGUGAAUCACCUUAUCUUUGAACGCUCCUUGCGCUCCUUGGUAUUCCGAGA